rnacentral:rRNA from 1 species
AGGACGAACGCUGGCGGCGUGCUUAACACAUGCAAGUCGAGCGGUAAGGCCUUUCGGGGUACACGAGCGGCGAACGGGUGAGUAACACGUGGGUGAUCUGCCCUGCACUCUGGGAUAAGCCUGGGAAACUGGGUCUAAUACCGGAUAUGACCUGCUCUCGCAGUGGGGGUGGGUGGAAAGAUUUAUCGGUGCAGGAUGGGCCCGCGGCCUAUCAGCUUGUUGGUGGGGUAAUGGCCUACCAAGGCGACGACGGGUAGCCGACCUGAGAGGGUGACCGGCCACACUGGGACUGAGACACGGCCCAGACUCCUACGGGAGCAGCAGUGGGGAAUAUUG